rnacentral:tRNA from 1 species
GCUCGGGUGGCGGAAUUGGUAGACGCGCCAGACUAAGGAUCUGGUGGGAGCAAUCCUGUGGGGGUUCGAGUCCCCCCUCGAGCA